GAUUAGUGGCGAACGGGUGAGUAACACGUGAGUAACCUGCCCUUGACUCUGGGAUAAGCCUGGGAAACUGGGUCUAAUACCGGAUACGACCAUCUGACGCAUGUCAUGGUGGUGGAAAGCUUUUGUGGUUUUGGAUGGACUCGCGGCCUAUCAGCUUGUUGGUGGGGUAAUGGCCUACCAAGGCGACGACGGGUAGCCGGCCUGAGAGGGUGACCGGCCACACUGGGACUGAGACACGGCCCAGACUCCUACGGGAGGCAGCAGUGGGGAAUAUUGCACAAUGGGCGAAAGCCUGAUGCAGCGACGCCGCGUGAGGGAUGACGGCCUUCGGGUUGUAAACCUCUUUCAGUAGGGAAGAAGCGAAAGUGACGGUACCUGCAGAAGAAGCGCCGGCUAACUACGUGCCAGCAGCCGCGGUAAUACGUAGGGCGCAAGCGUUAUCCGGAAUUAUUGGGCGUAAAGAGCUCGUAGGCGGUUUGUCGCGUCUGCUGUGAAAGACCGGGGCUCAACUCCGGUUCUGCAGUGGGUACGGGCAGACUAGAGUGCAGUAGGGGAGACUGGAAUUCCUGGUGUAGCGGUGAAAUGCGCAGAUAUCAGGAGGAACACCGAUGGCGAAGGCAGGUCUCUGGGCUGUAACUGACGCUGAGGAGCGAAAGCAUGGGGAGCGAACAGGAUUAGAUACCCUGGUAGUCCAUGCCGUAAACGUUGGGCACUAGGUGUGGGGGACAUUCCACGUUUUCCGCGCCGUAGCUAACGCAUUAAGUGCCCCGCCUGGGGAGUACGGCCGCAAGGCUAAAACUCAAAGGAAUUGACGGGGGCCCGCACAAGCGGCGGAGCAUGCGGAUUAAUUCGAUGCACGCGAAGAACCUUACCAGGCUUGACAUGAACCGGAAAGACCUGGAAACAGGUGCCCCGCUUGCGGUCGGUUUACAGGUGGUGCAUGGUUGUCGUCAGCUCGUGUCGUGAGAUGUUGGGUUAAGUCCCGCAACGAGCGCAACCCUCGUUCUAUGUUGCCAGCGCGUUAUGGCGGGGACUCAUAGGAGACUGCCGGGGUCAACUCGGAGGAAGGUGGGGACGACGUCAAAUCAUCAUGCCCCUUAUGUCUUGGGCUUCACGCAUGCUACAAUGGCCGGUACAAAGGGUUGCGAUACUGUGAGGUGGAGCUAAUCCCAAAAAGCCGGUCUCAGUUCGGAUUGGGGUCUGCAACUCGACCCCAUGAAGUCGGAGUCGCUAGUAAUCGCAGAUCAGCAACGCUGCGGUGAAUACGUUCCCGGGCCUUGUACACACCGCCCGUCAAGUCACGAAAGUUGGUAACACCCG
rnacentral:rRNA from 1 species